rnacentral:sRNA from 1 species
GCGUCCCUCCCGAAGCUGCGCGCUCGGUCGAAGAGGACGACCAUCCCCGAUAGAGGAGGACCGUUCUUCGGUCAAGGGUAUACGAGUAGCUGCGCUCCCCUGCUAGAACCUCCAAACAAGCUCUCAAGGUCCAUUGUAGGAGAACGUAGGGUAGUCAAGCUUCCAAGACUCCAGACACAUCCAAAUGAGGCGCUGCAUGUGGCAGUCUGCCUUUCUUU